GGUUUCUUGAACUUAUUUAAGAAAUUUGACCUGCCCACUGAAUAAUUUUUGAAGGGCCGCAGUAUAUUGACUGUGCAAAGGUAGCAUAAUCAUUAGUCUUUUAAUUGAAGGCUGGAAUGAAUGGUUGGAUGAAGUGAAUUCUGUUUUAUAUUAAUUUGUAUUGAAUUUAGGUUUUAAGUAAAAAGACUUAAAUGAUAUUAAGGGACGAGAAGACCCUAUAGAGUUUAAUAAAUGUAUAAAUUAAUUGAGUUAUUGGAAUUUAAUUUUUGAUUAUUAUGAAAUUUAUUUAAUUGGGGUGAUUAGAAGAUAAAUAUAACUCUUCUUUAUGUUUAAUAUUAUACUUAGUUGUGUGAUCCAUUAUUUAAUGAUUAAAAGAUUAAAUUACCUUAGGGAUAACAGCAUAAUUCUUUUUAAGAGUUCAUAUCGAAAAAAGAGAUUGUGACCUCGAUGUUGGAUUAAGAUUAGUUUUGGGUGUAGAUGUUCAAUAACUAGGUCUGUUCGACCUUGAAAAUCUUACA
rnacentral:rRNA from 1 species